UCUUAAAAAAUGCAGAGGGUCUUUGUGAAACUUAAAAAGUUCAGUAGUUUUAAACACGCCCCCCUGAGCUCAAAUUGAUUCGCGAAAUUCACCCCAAAAAAAUUUCCCGCCUAGCAAGCCCCGAAUAAGCCGUACGGCGCCCCCCAACUGGGGAACCGAAGAAAUGGAGGACUUCCAUUGGGAAGACGAAAUCGACAUCGACGACUCCGACCUCCCUUCGCUCCUCUCAAAUCCCAAAAUACCCUCCAAAGACCCCAAUAGUUACAACUCUACCCUGCCUCCCCUCUCCCUCUCUCUCCCCCCUCUCCAACCCUGCUCCCAAAACCCUAACCCUAACCCUAACCCUAAAAACGCUGCCCACAGACCGAUCCCCGGCCCCGCCGGCGCUGUUCAAGCGGCGAUGCACCGGAAAGCUUCGGCCGCCGUCGCCGGCGCUUGCAGUCUUCUCAAUUCGCGAGGGAGAUUGAGGGUUGAAGAAGAGGAGCAAGAUGGAGACUUUAAGCUCAGUCCUUGGCUUUCUGCUGCUGCGUUUCUUGGUGGGGAAUUUGAGCUGAUGUGGCCGAUCAGUUUGAUCAAGGAUAGGAAUAAUGCUCGUGCAGCUGUUCGAAUACCGCAGGUGGCUGGCAUCGUCAAGUCUUGUGUCCCAAAUGGGCUCGGUGAUCUGUUCAUAACCCUGAAGGAUCCUACAGGAAUCAUUGGAGCUUCUAUCCAUCGAAACGUCUUACUUGAGAGUAACCUUGGUGGCGAUAUAUCAGUUGGAUGUGUUCUCAUUCUGAAGCAGGUAGCUGUUUUCUGUCCAGGUCGUUUGGCAUGUUAUAUCAAUGUCACAGCAAACAACAUGGUGAAGCUCAUCAGCAAGGAUUGUGGUCCCCCACAUAAACAAAUGAUGCCAUCAUCUGAACCCAGAUAUGAGGCCUCUGGCAAACAAAUGGAAUUUGGACAAAAUCAAGUGGAGAAGCAGAUUUCAACGAGGAAUAGUGAAGAGAAUAUUCCUGGUAAUGAACUCAGCAGAGAAAUAGACAACGAGAGGAUACUGGAUCGUAGAAAGAGAGGUUCUACCGAGAGUUCACCAUAUAAUAUUACUACAAAAAAUCCCAUUAUAGCUUCCCAGUCCAAUUUCACGACUAAUAUUUCCACAAUGAUUGCUGCUAAGCUCAAUAAAACAAGUCCUACCACAAAUGUAGUUGAGAAGCCAGAUCUUGAGACGAACACUGUCGCGGAUGUGGUUUUCAUACCUGAUCAAAGAGUAGAUACUAACAAGAACAUGAUUUCUACCUCAAAUGUCAAAACUAGCAUCGUAGCAGAUGCAAGUGCAAAUAUGGAUACAGAGUCAGAUACGAGGAUGAAGGAACCUAAAAAGAUGAUUUCAAGCGUUUCAGCUAAUCAAUGGACAGAUGAACAGCUACUAGAGCUAUUUGCAGACUAUCAGGAUGAUUUUAAUUAGUUCAUCAACCAUAUCUGAUUGAUUGUUGUUCAGGUCUCGUCGGUCGAUGAUCAAACCUGAGAUUAUAGUAUGCUUCAUCUUUUGGUAGUUUCACUGCUUGUGCUGAUGUUGUUACCUAUGUUGCAUAUAGGGCGUAUAUUGUUCCCAGUAUGCGUAAUGCCCACAUCAAGCAGCAGACUUUCAAUUCAUACCCCUGUAUUAGGUACCAAUGGUUCAGCCCUUCCUCAGGAUGUCAAUGAACAGAUGAAACAUUCAAAUGCAUGUCUUGUAAUUAGUUGCAAAUGGAAAUGCGUGUAAAGGAAUAUUUUCUGCAAACUUUUUAACGAGUUUCAUUUUUGAUUUGGCUGUGGAUUAAGAAGAAAUGUUAUUUUUAGCUA